UACGUAGGGGGCAAGCGUUGUCCGGAAUCAUUGGGCGUAAAGCGCGUGUAGGCGGCCUAGUAAGUCCGUUCUGAAAGCCCGGGGCUCAACCCCGGGAGGCGGAUGGAUACUGCUGGGCUCGAGUCCGGAAGAGGCAAGUGGAAUUCCCGGUGUAGCGGUGAAAUGCGCAGAUAUCGGGAGGAACACCUAUUGCGAAGGCAGCUCGCUGGGACGUUACUGACGCUGAGACGCGAAAGCGUGGGGAGCAAACAGG
rnacentral:rRNA from 1 species